AGGCAAAGAUAGCCGCAUUGAUGUGCAUCACUGCCUGCAUGACAGCAAUAGGCGUCAUUGUAUCAACCAGUCUUGCCUCAGCUAAAGAUAACCAGAGACCAUCACCCGAAACUGGUGACCUAGUGAUCAAUGGCUUCCUGAUAGCAAUUGGCUGCACGGAGUUGUCCGCUUCUAUCAUUUCUGGCUCUCAAGCCGUGGUUUUUGUGCGACAGAGUUAGAUUAGCCUCAACAUGGGUGAUGGCCUACAUGACUUAACGUAAAGAGUGGGAUGUCAAUCAACCACAACAACCAAAAUGGACCCAUCUCGGACAAACUGCAUACCGUAAUUCACCUUUUUACUUUGUAAAAACUAAUUUUAACAAAUGUUAAUUCGUUUUUAUCAACAAUUUGAAUAUAUGGAAUCACAACAUUUUAGCAAAUUUGUAAAUGUUUUAGAAUGUAUUUGUAUCAUUUUUUAAAUUCUGUAUUCUGUUUUCUGUAAUAUUUAUUUCAAUAUUUACUAACAUGUAGAAAGUACAUAAGGUUACAAUAAUAUGAUAUUUGAUAUGUACACAGUGAUAAUAAAGUAGCAAAUUAAAUGACAACAUUUUAGUUGUAAGGUCAAGCGAAGCGCUUGUGUGCCCCAACAUAUGGACAGACAAACAUACAACCAAUUAAGGUAGCGUAAUAUGGACCAAGGACAAAGAAAAUACAACGUGAGACAGACAAGCAUGGGACAAGGCCUAAUUAUUAGCUCACAAAACACCUUAAUAGAUGAUUAUGAGUCGAGGAACUCAGCUGUCAAUUUUUGUCACAAAGACAGGUAGUAUAGUAAUGAUUUAAGAGGAUCAUCUAAACUAAUCCAGUCUGCAUUCUGAUUAAACCAAGAUGUACAUCCCCGCGUUGCCUCCGAAGUAUUCGACACGUGUUGGCCUGUUCACUUAAGCCUGUUCUCUUAGUUGUGGCUUGUAGUGUGAAUCGCUUUCCUCUAACGCAAACCAAAGUUUUCAUUUUCCCUCAUUUCUUGUUCUGUUCACCAUUAUGUAACACUUUCAGAUUGUUCUUUCAUCAAAAUAUCUUAACCGGUUUUGAAGUUUUAUCAAGUUACGAUAUUUUCACACCGAUCGUUGGCAUAGCCUGCGCUUAUAAUUAAACCUUCAAAUCUCAUCUCGUAUAAAUAAUCGGUGUAAAAGUUUGGUUUAGCACAAGUUUCCUAUAAAACAGCCUUUUCUUUUACAGAGAAACGCUGUGCACCACUUUAGUGCGUUUUAAUGCAAAUUCAAUUCUUCAAUAUCAAUACAGAAGCAUUUAGUUAUUGGUUUUUUUUUUAAAUAUAGGGAACGUUAUAAUGAUCAGUAUCACUGCAUCUGUAAUAGUAUAUGUGAUACGGUUACUUUCCAGAUAGACGUUGUGUUGUUUUUUAGUUCUAGUUUCAAGCUCUAGUCUAGUUUGUUACUUCAAACGGCGCGUAUUACUGUUCUCAGUAAGCUUCUAUCAGCAGUGAUGAAUUAAUGUGUUGAGGAAAAGAAGAGCUGAAACGUUACACCUGUCCAUGUGGGAAUCUUCUGAAGACAUUUCUCGUGAAGAGGACGCCUCUUAAUGUAUAUAGGGGGGUCACUUGGCAGCUAUCGACCAAUCAACCAUAAUAGCUGGCAAUUCCUUGGCAGCAUCAAGGGGGGGGGGGAGGU
rnacentral:lncRNA from 1 species